GACGAACGCUGGCGGCGUGCUUAACACAUGCAAGUCGAACGGAAAGGCCCUGCUUUUGUGGGGUGCUCGAGUGGCGAACGGGUGAGUAACACGUGAGUAACCUGUCCUUGACUUUGGGAUAACUUCAGGAAACUGGGGCUAAUACCGGAUAGGAGCUCCUGCUGCAUGGUGGGGGUUGGAAAGUUUCGGCGGUUGGGGAUGGACUCGCGGCUUAUCAGCUUGUUGGUGGGGUAGUGGCUUACCAAGGCUUUGACGGGUAGCCGGCCUGGGAGGGUGACCGGCCACAUUGGGACUGAGAUACGGCCCAGACUCCUACGGGAGGCAGCAGUGGGGAAUAUUGCACAAUGGGCGGAAGCCUGAUGCAGCAACGCCGCGUGCGGGAUGACGGCCUUCGGGUUGUAAACCGCUUUCGCCUGUGACGAAGCGUGAGUGACGGUAAUGGGUAAAGAAGCACCGGCUAACUACGUG
rnacentral:rRNA from 1 species